rnacentral:rRNA from 1 species
AAACCGGAGCUAAUACCGGAUAAUAUAUUGAACCGCAUGGUUCAAUAGUGAAAGACGGUUUUGCUGUCACUUAUAGAUGGAUCCGCGCCGCAUUAGCUAGUUGGUAAGGUAACGGCUUACCAAGGCAACGAUGCGUAGCCGACCUGAGAGGGGUGAUCGGCCACACUGGAACUGAGACACGGUCCAG